CGUGUAGGCGGUUUGUACAGUCAGAUGUGAAAUCCCCGGGCUUAACCUGGGAGCUGCAUUUGAGACGUGCAGACUAGAGUGUGAGAGAGGGUUGUGGAAUUCCCAGUGUAGAGGUGAAAUUCGUAGAUAUUGGGAAGAACACCGGUGGCGAAGGCGGCAACCUGGCUCAUUACUGACGCUGAGGCUCGAAAGUGUGGGUAGCAAACA
rnacentral:rRNA from 1 species